rnacentral:lncRNA from 1 species
AAUAUCAAAUAAAACUAUCGAGCCGAACCCAAAACCCUAGAAUCACCUUGCCGAACACGAUCAAAAUAAAUUCAAGCAUGCAAAGAGAUAGAAUAUUAUACUUUAACUAAAAUAAAAAAGUGGCACAUUGGUGUUCUCCAUAAGACUCCAAGGUAGAAGUCUUCCAACGAUGAUCCACACGAAAGUCGGCCAAGGUCCUUCCC